rnacentral:lncRNA from 1 species
AGGUCAAUUUGAAGAUUGACAUCUUCAUCAUAUUGAUCUUCUGGUCCAUGAAGACUGGCCUAUGUGUGACUUUGCCUACGGUUUCUUGACUCUGGCUGGCUGGCAUUUUAUACUCUCCAGUCUGUAGCUGCUGAAGUACCUGUAUUAAAUGUAAUCUUAGGUGUUGGCUUGAGACUACGUCCGUUCAGCCUUUAUUCCUGUUGAAUAGUUUGGUGCAUUGAUCCUAUCGGACGGCCAGUCCAUCUUUGGCUGCACAGGUAAGAGGAGCCUCAUUACCUUAUGUUAGAUUUCAAGAGCAUUGUGCUGCAGGGUUCCUGUCAGUACUCUACUAGACUAUGAACUUGUUCUCUUCCCAGGUCCCUAAGAGUUUUUACUGUAUGGAUGCUAAAUUUCCUGAAGUGCUUUUUUUCUGCCUCUGUUAAGAUUCUGUGAUUUUCCCCCCUUUGUUCUGUUAGCGUGCUAAAUCACAUCUAUUGAUUUUCAAAUGUUAAAUCAACUUUGAAUCUUGGGAAAAGCCCAGUUUGUGCCUGCUUGAUGCAUUCUCUUUCUUACAUUCAAUUUGCUAAUAUUCUUCUUUCAGGUGUUUGUAUGUUUGUCUGUGGGAGUGCGGUCUGCAUUGUAAUGUGUGUUCUAGAAUUUAGUUUCAUUUCUGUUGGUCAAACAAACCAAAAACAACAGUAUCAUAAAAC